rnacentral:rRNA from 1 species
GACGCUGGCGGCAUGCUUACACAUGCAAGUCGCACGGACCUUUCGGGGUGAGUGGCGGACGGGUGAGUAUCGCGUAGGGAUCUAUCCACGGGUGGGGGAUAACAUCGGGAAACUGGUGCUAAUACCGCAUGAUACCUGAGGGUCAAAGGCGCAAGUCGCCUGUGGAGGAGCCUGCGUUCGAUUAGCUUGUUGGUGGGGUAAAGGCCUACCAAGGCGAUGAUCGAUAGCUGGUCUGAGAGGAUGAUCAGCCACACUGGGACUGAGACACGGCCCAGACUCCUACGGGAGGCAGCAGUGGGGAAUAUUGGACAAUGGGCGAAAGCCUGAUCCAGCAAUGCCGCGUGUGUGAAGAAGGUCUUCGGAUUGUAAAGCACUUUCGACGGGGACGAUGAUGACGGUACCCGUAGAAGAAGCCCCGGCUAACUUCGUGCCAGCAGCCGCGGUAAUACGAAGGGGGCUAGCGUUGCUCGGAAUGACUGGGCGUAAAGGGCGCGUAGGCGGUUUACACAGUCAGAUGUGAAAUUCCAGGGCUUAACCUUGGGGCUGCAUUUGAUACGUGUAGACUAGAGUGUGAGAGAG